UGGGCCCUUGCUGCGCCACUCACCGGACUUUUAAUGGCCUAGUCAGCACCAGGGUCCCUUUUCGAGCGUGCGUUCCAGUCAAAAACCGGAUGCCUGGCAACCCUACUGUUAGUGCAGGGUGGCUUCGCUGCUAGCACUGCUGAUUUCACAAAGAAAAAGAAUUUUCAAGUUUGUCCUAAAAGGAUGUGUGGUAACUAGGUUCUACUUCACUUCAGGUAUGUAAAAUGCUCUGAUAAAGCUGUUGGAAGGAAUAUGAGCUACUGCAUUUAUUCAUUGAGAGAAAGGAAAAAAAACAUUGGCAAACAGGCAAUACACCAAGCAUAGGAGAGAGGGGUCACAUCUUAUGUUUUAUAUUAAAAAAGAAAACAAGAAAAAUGAGCAACGCUGCAGAUGUUUUUUGUUGUUUUAACAUGCUGAAUGCUGACGAAUAGCCAGUUUAGGGCUAAUUUCUAGACAUACUUUGAUUUAAAGUGUUUUCUUCUAAGUGUGCUGGUUUAAAUAUUGUCCUUAGAAACUUAAUGCAUCCGUCCCAGCCUGGAUCCUGACCAUGGGGUUUUGUUUAAAUCAUACUGACAAACCAAGGCAGUUUUAAAUUUGAAAUUAAAAUGGAGUAAAACUGAAUUCAACUAAACUCGUUUGCCCCCCCUCCCUCCCGAUAGCAGUAGAAAUGAGACUAGUCUCAACAGGUGAUGCCCCCUUUCAUAUGGUACAGUGGUAUGUAUCAUUACUAAGGCACUUAACGGGCCUCAGCUGACAUCAGGGCCUCUUGUGCCAGUACUGUACAAAGCUCAAGUAAGAGUGUAACAGGGUGGCUUGCCCUGGGAGCUGGAGGUUAAGCCAGCUUGACUGAGGGGAAUCAGGGAAAUUCCCCAUAAAGAGCAGAAGGUGGCUGCAGUACUGGAAACGAGAGCCAGGAUUAAGUGGUGGUAAAGCCCAGUUGAGAAAAGGGAUGGAGAGAGUCAGGCAGAAAGCAGAGAGAAAGGAAAUUACUCCAAGCGGGGACCGGGGAGAGACAGAGGGACCUAGAGGAAAUACCCAUGGAAAACUGCUGCCCCAGCUAAAAGGAGCAGCCCAGGGCCCUGAGCCCGAACCAAGAGUAGCAGGUGGCACUGGGCUCUCCUAAUGGUCCCAAGGAAAGGUGUGCACAAGCCCAUCGUAAGGGCUAUCAGCUGAGCUGAAGGCAGGCUGAGGAAGAGCUGCAGAAAGGGGAAUGACCAUCGGCGGGGGGCACCAGCCCAGGGAGCUGCUACGCCACACUUGGCCAUGAGGAGUUGUUGAGUAGUAAGUGGACUAUAAAGAGACAAUGCCCCUCAUAGUUUAGUGUCUAAACCACUGUGUACUCAUUCCCUCUGUUAGUCUGCACAAAUGCCUUUUAGACUAGCAUAGAGUGCCAAAAAUUUAAAAUGACUGAAAUUGUGUGGGAACUUGGCAGCAUGUCUCUUAACAAUCUUUUCCCCGCUAACCUUCCAAAAUAUGGCUGUUUGCAAUAAUAGGAAAUCCAUAUUGAAUUUAUGGUCAGAUCCUUGUACUGUUCAAAGUCAGUGGUUAAAGGUUCUAUUGACUUUAACGGUAUGUCUACGCUGCAGCCUAUAAGCACUGAAGUUUAUAAGAUGCAACGUCUAUCAGUUUCUCUUAUUUUUACCUAGCAUCCACCUGCUUGAGACUUGAAUUUCUUGCAUUGAACAAGCAAGCUCAGCACUUCAAGUUAGGGCUCAGUUUCCCCAAACAGUUGGCAGGCAUGAGCUCUUUCACAAAACCAUGCUAUUGCCUAAGGCCUUUGUAGCUUGAGCUGGAGGCACAUGCACUGACAUGGCUGAACUACGGAGUUCAUGACAGGUCAGUAGAAAGAUUGUUUAGUCAAUUAAUGAAAAAGAAGGAGCUGCUUUGCAAGUCUAAAAGGCUGUCUGCGACCAAGUUUUUCACCAGUACAUAAGUGCCUAUUAAGGAAGGAGGAGGGACAACAGUGGUCAAAGUAGGCUGGUUGGCUGGUACAUUUUGGAAGCGUUACACACCAGCCACAUUUAACUCCCAGUACCUUAUUCUUCAGUUUAGAAAAGGGGAACACAAAGUAUUGCCUCUGUUAUGUCAGCCAGUCCCUAUAUUGGUUCUAUAGUAAACCCUGCAUAGAGUCACAUGAUGGCCAUGGUGUGAGGAAGAACUAGACUUACAAGCUGAAGAGUAAAUUACUCCACAGAGGAAUGUUCAGCACAACCAGAAAUCUUGCCAGCCUAUAGAACAACUGCCACCUUUUCUUUAUGGUAUAUGAAGAAAUCAAAUAGCCUUCCAGUCACCAGUUGAUUUUAUUGUUACAAUAUAACAAAGCAGUUUAUUUUCUUGUGCACUUCAUAGUGUCCAAAAUGUGCUGCUAGGGUAUAGAAUGGAACUGACACCACUUUCAUGGAAGUACUGAAUAAGACGGAAUGGCAGCCCUAUUUCUACCAUGACACUCUGGGAUGAGUACCAAUAGUACCAGCUGAAAACAGACCAGCAGCAUAUGGACCUGGACAACUUCAGGAUGUCAGCAGCAGCUGUACUCUGUGCCUUUGUUACCCUCAGGACUGCUGCUAUAUUGGCCUGAAGGGGUGCCACCCACAGAACACCUGACCGUGUGGAGGAGAAAGAAUAGGAGGAGGG